rnacentral:tRNA from 2 species
GCCGAAGUAGCUCAUCUGGUAGAGCAACUGAUUCGUAAUCAGUAGGUAGGGUGUUCAAUUCACCUCUUCGGCAC